GUAAUGAAGCAGCAACAAGCAAGAUGGCUUCUUCCCUCUUCACUUUAAACCUGCUCGGGGGGGGGGAAGGUCAGAGAAGAGCUCAGUUCUCUAGUUCUCCUGCUCCUAUUCCAUGUCUUAGGGGAAGCCCGGAGAGACCCGAGACAUCCAGACCGCGCUUACGCCUUGCAGAAGCUGAAAGUAAAGAAUCACCAGGAUUCUCUGUCCAGCUAACACUGCGAGGAGCCUCGUUUCACCGCCUGCCCAACAUUCCAUUCCCUGAUUGUGAAUGCAGCGGCUGGGGAGGGAGAGAAAAACCUCAACCUGGUUGGCUUCCCAACACUGACCUUUCCUCCAAAGUUCCCGGGAUUUCCUCUAUUCCUGCCCCACAGAAAGCUGCCUCUGAGGGGAAGGGGUAGGAGGGAGGAGAGGGCAGGCAAGAUUUGUGUGGCAUUGAUCGGCUUUGGCCUCUCUUCUGUGACUGUCUACUCCGAUUAAAUAGUUUCUCAAUUAGUCAGUUUCCUUUGAGCUUUGGAAAUGAAAUAUGUGGUAGAGCCACAAAUACACAAUGGGUAAGAGUG